UACGGAGGGUGCAAGCGUUAAUCGGAAUUACUGGGCGUAAAGCGUGCGCAGGCGGUUUGUUAAGUCCGUUAUGAAAGCCCCGAGCUCAACUUGGGAAUUGCAGUGGAUACUGGCAGGCUGGAGUACGGUAGAGGAAGGUGGAAUUCCCGGUGUAGCAGUGAAAUGCGUAGAGAUGUGGAGGAAUACCGAUGGCGAAGGCAGCCCCCUGGGCUAACACUGACGCUCAUGCACGAAAGCGUGGGGAGCAAACAGG
rnacentral:rRNA from 1 species